CCCUCGAUAGCUCAGUUGGAAGAGCGUGGGACUGUAAUUGUAAACUAAACAUCCCGAGGUCGCUGGUUCGAACCCGGCUUGAGGGA